UUACUUACCUGGUAGGAGAGACUUGGUGUAGUUAGAGGGUGGAGACCUGCCCAUGCACUGCAGGCAGUCCCCUGUAAAUGCCUCCAAAUGUGGGCAUCUCGGCUACACAAUUUAUAAUGAUGGGGGACCUCUCUUGGGUUUUUCCUUU
rnacentral:snRNA from 14 species